AAUAGGCUCCAUGGCUGUGCUAUCUGGGUUAAAGCAUUCACAUAAAACAAAGUCCCGAAUGAUCAGGUGUUCGGUUAAAUAGCCACGAAUAGAAGCAGGGAAGGCUGGAGGCUCAGUGGUGCCUGCACGUAAAAGUGUCCGCUUUUAGCGCACGGUUUCCGGGCUGAGCACCGCUUGCCGUCCGGGGAGUUAAGUGUAACUGCGGCUACC